rnacentral:rRNA from 1 species
CCCUUAGAUGUCCUGGGCCGCACGCGCGCUACGCUGAGUGUCUGAGAUACGAGUCUGCCUAGCCGGCGAGGUCUAGGUAAUCGCUGAAAGACACAUCAUGCUUGGGAUAGAUUAUUGCAGAUAUUAAUCUUGAACGAGGAAUUCCUAGUAAGCGCAAGUCAACAGCUUGCGUUGAUUACGUCCCUGCCCUUUGUACACACCGCCCGUCGCUACUACUGAUUGGAUGUUUAAGCGAGGUUCUCGAACUGCUAGCGACUUAGCUUCGGUGAGGUCGCAGUGUGGGAAGUGAACCUAGCUUUGGUGUCUAGAGGAAGUAAAAGUCGUAACA